rnacentral:rRNA from 1 species
GAUACUGUGCAUUCAGAGUAAACAGCACAAACUCUGCCGAAGGAAGAGGCAUUAUAGAUAAAACCAUCGGGUUCGGCCCGUGAUUUGGGAAUAGAAAAUUUUGCCAAUCGCACAUUCUUAGCACGGGAGAUGUAUCUUUCAAGUGUNCGCCUUAUCAACUUUAGAGGGUAGGUCAUACGCCUCCCAUGGUAGUAACGGGUAACGGAGAAUAAGGUUUCGACUCCGGAGAGGGCGCCUGAGAAACGCCUACCACAUCCAAGGAAGGCCGCAGGCGCGCAAAUUACCCACUUCCAGAACGGAGAGGUAGUGACGAAAAAUCACGAGACAUUCCUCUUUGAGGUCUGUCAUCGGAAUGGGUCCAAUUUAAAUCCUUUAACGAGGAUCUAUUGGAGGGCAAUUCUGGUCCCAGCAGCCGCGGUAAUUCCAGCUCCAAUAUGCGUAUAUUAAAGUUGUUGCGGAUAAAACUCUUGUAGUUGUAUCUGCGGCCGAGGAGAUCGGUCCCCCGAAAGGGCGGUCACUGUCUCUCCUAGCCUAACUUCGAGUCGUCUGUAGGUGCUCUUUACCGGGUGCCUAGAGUGAGCUAGAACGUUUACUUUGAAAAAAUUAGAGUGCUUAAAGCAGGCGAAAUUGCCUGAAUAAGGUGCCUGGAAUAAUGGAAUAGGACCUCGGUUCUAAUUUGUUGGUUUUCGUAAACCUGAGGUAAUGAUUAAGAGGAGACAGACCGGGGGCAUUACGUAUUCCGGCGCUAGAGGUGAAAUUCUUGGU